rnacentral:rRNA from 1 species
UACGUAGGCGGUUCGGUAAGUCAGGUGUGAAAUCCCGGGGCUCAACCCCGGAACUGCACCCGAUACUGCCGGACUUGAGUAAUGGAGAGGCAGGUGGAAUUCUCGGUGUAGCAGUGAAAUGCGUGGAUAUCGAGAGGAAGACCAAUGACGAAGGCAGCCUGCUGGACAUUUACUGACGCUGAGGUACGAAGGCCAGGGGAGCGAAAG